UACAGAGGCCUCGAGCGUUAGGCGGAAUCACUGGGCUUAAAGCGUGUGUAGGUGGAUGCCUAAGUGCCUUGUGAAAUCCCACGGCUUAACCGUGGAAUUGCUGGGCAUACUGGGUGUCUUGAGCCACUCAGGGGCUACCGGAACAAAUGGUGGAGCGGUGAAAUGCGUAGAUAUCAUUUGGAACGCCAAUGGUGAAAACAGGUAGCUGGGGGUGUGGUGACACUGAGACACGAAAGCCAGGGGAGCAAACGGG
rnacentral:rRNA from 1 species